rnacentral:rRNA from 1 species
CUAGCCAUGCCGCGUGAGUGAUGAAGGCCUUAGGGUCGUAAAGCUCUUUCGCCUGUGAUGAUAAUGACAGUAGCAGGUAAAGAAACCCCGGCUAACUCCGUGCCAGCAGCCGCGGUAAUACGGAGGGGGUUAGCGUUGUUCGGAAUUACUGGGCGUAAAGCGCGCGUAGGCGGAUUAGAAAGUUGGGGGUGAAAUCCCGGGGCUCAACCCCGGAACUGCCUCCAAAACUGCUGGUCUGGAGUUCGAGAGAGGUGAGUGGAAUUCCGAGUGUAGAGGUGAAAUUCGUAGAUAUUCGGAGGAACACCAGUGGCGAACGCGGCUCACUGGCUCGAUACUGACGCUGAGGUGCGAAAGUGUGGGGAGCAAACAGGAUUAGAUACCCUGGUAGUCCACACCGUAAACGAUGAAUGCCAGUCGUCGGAUAGUAUACUAUUCGGUGACACACCUAACGGAUUAAGCAUUCCGCCUGGGGAGUACGGUCGCAAGAUUAAAACUCAAAUGAAUUGACGGGG